rnacentral:rRNA from 1 species
AACGCUAGCUACAGGCUUAACACAUGCAAGUCGAGGGGCAGCAGGAACAAAGCUUGCUUUGUUUGCUGGCGACCGGCGCACGGGUGAGUAACGCGUAUCCGACCUACCCAUAACACGGGCACGGCCGCUCGAAAGAGUGAUUGAUUCCCGAUAUGUUGUAUAAGUAGAUUAUACAAUGAAAGAUUUAUCGGUUAUGGAUGGGGAUGCGUAAGAUUAGGUAGUAGGCGGGGUAACGGCCCACCUAGCCGACGAUCUUUAGGGGUUCUGAGAGGAAGGUCCCCCACACUGGUACUGAGACACGGACCAGACUCCUACGGGAGGCAGCAGUGAGGAAUAUUGGUCAAUGGGCGGAAGCCUGAACCAGCCAAGUAGCGUGAAGGAUUACAGCCCUACGGGUUUUAAACUUCUUUUAUAUAAGAGUAAUGUGCACUACGUGUAGUGUAUUGCAAGUAUUAUAUGAAUAAGCAUCGGCUAACUCCGUGCCAGCAGCCGCGGUAAUACGGAGGAUGCGAGCGUUAUCCGGAUUUAUUGGGUUUAAAGGGAGCGUAGGCGGGUUAUUAAGUCAGUCGUCAAAGCCUGUGGCUCAACCACAGCCCGCGAUUGAUACUGGUAACCUUGAGUGCGGAUGAGGUGGAUGGAAUUCGUGGUGUAGCGGUGAAAUGCUUAGAUAUCACGAAGAACUCCGAUUG